UGGGGAAUAUUGCACAAUGGGCGCAAGCCUGAUGCAGCCAUGCCGCGUGUGUGAAGAAGGCCUUCGGGUUGUAAAGCACUUUCAGCGAGGAGGAAAGUGGUGAGCUUAAUACGCUCAUCAAUGA
rnacentral:rRNA from 1 species